AAUCCUGGCNUNUNAUACAGGUNGGGAUGAGAGUACCAGAAGAAUAAGGACCGGCUAANUACGUGCCAGCAGCCGCGGUAAUACGUAGGGUCCAAGCGUUAAUCGGAAUUANUGGGCNUAAAGCGUCCGCAGGUGGCUUGAUAAGAUAGACGUGAAAUCCCUGGGCUCAACAUAGGAAUUGCGUUUAUGACUGUCUCGAUAGAGUAUGGGAGAGGGGGUUGGAAUUCCACGUGUAGCAGUGAAAUGCGUAGAGAUGUGGAGGAACACCGAUGCCGAAGGCAACCCCGUGGCCUNAUACUGACACUCAUGGACGAAAGCGUGGGGAGCAAACAGGAUUAGAUAGCCCUGNUACGUCCACGCCGU
rnacentral:rRNA from 1 species